rnacentral:lncRNA from 1 species
CAUGUGCUAACGAGACGGAGAUUUUUGGACAUAAAUGAUGAGCUUUUUUGAACAAAACUACAUUCGUUAUGGACCUGUGAUACCUGGAAGUGACAUCUGAUGAAGAGAAUCAAAGGUUUGGUCUACAUGAAGCAUCAUCUUUACAGAGAAUGAGACAGAGCAACAGAGACAGCAUUCAUCUGAUUUCAUCUCAUCACUAAUGCCCAAAAGGUCACAAGGUACAGGGGAGCUGGAUGGGGUACCUUGCCCGUGUGUCAGACAAGAUGGACUUGCUUCAUUCCUUUCCAUACAUAAAGAAGCUGUCUCAAACUCAACACAUGCCUGCCUGCCUUUGC